GGGUAUCACACAGGGGCCUGAAGGGCGAGCCGGGACGCCUGUGUUCCCGGAGCUCCGGAGAUCCCCGGCCGCAAGGGCGGGGGCGCUAUUUUGGGGUAGCAGCUGCUGCGAUUCCGGCAUCUCCAGCCAAGGGAUCAAAAUUCCCCGGGUCGGAACUCCCCCCUCUUCGGCGGUCACCCCUCAUCCAGCCCUGUCUCCCUGAGCUGGGGGUUGGUGGUGGUGUUGGAGAUUAACUAGGAAACCCGAGUGGGGCUAAUUAUAACUCGGGGCUUCCGCUGAGCGUCCCCUUCCCCCAAAAUAGAGACGGAGUCUCCGCGGGAGGGGGUCCCAGGCCUCGGAGGGGGCCUGGGCUGGGCUCUGCGCAGGGAUUCUGGGGUCGCUCCACUCUGGGUAUAGGGGCAUCCAGGAGGGCGCCAGGAACCUGCGCAGUUUGGGGUCCGCCCCAAACAGGGGGCAUCUUCUAGUGGUCUCAGACUUGGGGCUAGCGGGGAAGGGGCGCUCGGGGGUCCCACAGGAAUUCUAACCUCUGGAGAGGCAGCGGAUGGCCCAGAGGGCUUCGAUUGAAACAACUCUCAACGUUUUAGACGCCAGGUUGUCAUCUAUCCUGGGCCUAGAUGAUGUCACAUUUGAAGCCUGUCCUUUAAGUGUCACUGGUGUCAAGGAUUCUGAAACCAUUUCAGUGCAGUCUCAGCGGAACGGUACACAAGCCUCUGGCGCCCAGGAAAGUGAAGUAUCAUCCGAAAAUAUCUGACUUGUAGCCAGGGACCCGAGACCUGCCAGUGCUUGUGAUUGAACCCAAGGCUUCUGGUGUGCUAGGCAGGUGCUGUACCACUGAGCUACAUGCCCGCCCAGUUAAUCUCCGAAUGUGGUGUUAGUUCUUGGCGGACACAACAUCUUCGUUUGUAUGUGGUGCUGAGGAUCGAACCCAGGCCACACGCAUGCCAGGCGAGCGUGCUACCGCUUGAGCCACAUCCCCAGCCCUCCUUUGUCUUGAUAUCAAGAUUGUACUGGCUUCCUAGAAUGAGUUCAGCUUUUUGGAACAGGUUGAGAAUUGAAGAAUUCACAAGUGAGGCCAUCAGAUGGGUUCUCACUAGUUGCCCAGGGUGGCCUUGAACUCAGAUAAUCUUCCUGCCUCAGCUUUCCUCCUGAGCAUCUGGGACUACAGGUGUAUGCCUCGAGUACCUGGCAAUGAGCACUUUUCGAGUACCAACCACCGCUACCCCAACAAAACCAAAAUAAGAAUUUGGAAGUCGCAAGGCUACAACUCCCAGGAAGUAAAAACUGAGAAUGGCAGUUUUUGAUAUCUAAUACUCAACAGAAUGUCCUUUUAAUUUCUCUGUUGUGGUCUGAAGCGUCCAUCAUUAUUUUAGGACUUUGGGAGGUACUGCACCCUGGGAGAAGAUGGGGUAAGAGAGAAGAAAUUAACAUCAAAGAAAGAAAGAUGGCGUCACCUGGAGCUUGAGCAGCUGCACGUUGGUAUCAAAGAUCUGGUGAGAGAACAUGGGCAAGA